UGGGGCGUGGCGAAAUUGGUAGACGCACUGGAUUUAGGUUCCAGCGCCGCAAGGUGUAAGAGUUCGAGUCUCUUCGCCCCCACCA
rnacentral:tRNA from 1 species